GUGAGGAGUAGUGGUGCUGCCAGCUGCCCUGAUAGUGACUCCAUCUGCCCUGCCCCCACCAUCGCCCCAGGCCGUGCCACACCUCCCCAAGCCAACUGCUGGGCUUCUGAAGGCACCCUGAGAUACCAAGCGUUACCUGGCAACCGCGCACCUGUGAGCCAGAGACAACAGAUCCACUGAUUAGCUUUCUCCAUCAAGCAUUCAAAAAGGCCAAGCUACACACCGUAACAUUAACCUUGAACUUGGAACUCUUAAGAAAGUGCCCAGUUUUAUUUGGGGAAAAGAUCUCUGCCAGCAAAGCCGAUCCUUAAUUUGGGAAAUAAGAGGUUCACCUGUCUGAGGAGAGAUGAUGAGAUGGCUCUGGGAUGGGCCUCUCUGGCCAUUUCAAGGAGCAAGCGGUUCAGGGUUUGACCAGCUGUGACUCUCCACUGUAUCCAGAGUUCCCGCUGCUGGCAUGGAAACCUGACAUUGACCUCACUUCUUGUCUGCUGACCUUGCUCAUCUCAGGCACCAUUUUCUGGAAGCAGAUGAACAACUGAGAUCAAUCCCCUGUCCUCCUGCUCUUUGCUCCGUAAGAAAGAUCCACCUACGACCUCAGGUCCUCAGACCGACCAGCCCAAGAAACAUCUCACCAAUUUCAAAUCCGGUAAGCGGCCUCUUUUUACUCUCUUCUCCAACCUCCCUCACUAUCCCUCAACCUCUUUCUCCUUUCAAUCUUGGCGCCACACUUCAAUCUCUCCCUUCUCUUAAUUUCAAUUACUUUCAUUUUCUGGUAGAGACAAAGGAGACACGUUUUAUCCAUGGACCCAAAACUCCGGCACCAGUCACGGACUAAGGAAGGCAGCCUUCCCUUGGUGUUUAAUCAUUGCAGGGACGCCUCUCUGAUUAUUCACCCAGGUUUCAGAGGUGUCAGACCACGCAGGGAUGCCUGCCUUGGUCCUUUACCCUUAGCGGCAAGUCCCGCUUUUCUGGGGGAAGGGCAGGAACCCCGACCUCUUAUCUCUGUGCCCCGAUCCCAAAUUUCCGCACCCUGACCUCUUAUCUCUGCACCCCGAUCCCUUAUUUCCAUGCCCCAACCUCUUAUCUCUGCACCCCAACCCCUUAUUUCUGCACCCUGACCCCUUCUCUGCUUUUCUGGAAGGCAAGAACCCCCCACCCCUUCUCCGUGUCUUUACUCUCUUUUCUCUGGGCUUGCCUCCUUCACUAUGGGCAAGCUUCCACCUUCCAUUCCUCCUUCUUAUCCCUUAGCCUGUGUUCUUAAGAACUUAAAACCUCUUCAACUCUCACCUGACCUAAAAUCUAAGCAUCUUAUUUUCUUCUGCAAUGCCACCUGACCUCAAUACAAACUCGACAGUAGUUCCAAAUAGCCGGAAAACAGCACUUUCAAUUUUUCCAUCCUACAAGAUCUAAAUAAUUCUUGUCGUAAAAUAAGCGAACGGUCUAAGGUGCCUGACGUCCAGGCAUUCUUUUACACAACGGUCCCUCCCUAGUCUCUGUUCCCAAUGCAACUCGUCCCAAAUCUUCCUUCUUUCCCUCCCACCUGUCCCCCCAGUCCCAACCCCAAGCGUCGCUGAGUCUUUCUAAUCUUCCUUUUCUACAGACCCAUCUGACCUCUCUCCUCCUCACCAGGCCUAGCUAGGUCCCAAUUCUUCCUCAGCCACCGCUCCUCCACCCUAUAAUCCUUUUAUCACCUCCCUUCCUCACAUCCGGUCCAGCUUACAGUUUCAUUCUGUGACUAGCCCUCCCCCACCUGCCCAGCAAUUUACUCUUAAAAAGGUAGCUGGAGCUAAAGGCUUAAUCAAGGUUAAUGCUCCUUUUUCUUUAUCCCAAAGCAGAUAGUGUUUAGGCUCUUUUUCAUCAAAUAUAAAAACCCAGCCCAGUUCAUGACUCGUUUGGCAGCAACCCUGAGACACUUUACAGCCCUAGACCCUAAAAGGUCAAAAGGCCGUCUUAUUCUCAAAAUACAUUUUAUUACCCAAUCUGCUCCCGACAUUAAAUAAAACUCCAAAAAUUAAAUUCCGGCCCUCAAACCCCACAACAGGACCUAAUUAACCUUGCCUUCAAGGUGUACAAUAAUAGAGCAGAGGCAGCCAAGUAGCAACAUAUUUCUGAGUUGCAAUUCCUUGCCUCCACUGUGAGACAAACCCCAGCCACAUGUCCAGCACACAAGAACUUCCAAACGCCUAAACCACAGUGGCCAGGUGUUCCUCCAGAACAUCCUCCCCCAGGAGCUUGCUACAAGUGCCAGAAAUCUGGCCACCACCCCAAGGAAUGCCCGCAGCCCAGGAUUCCUCCUAAGCCGUGUCCCAUCUGUGCAGGACCCCACUGGAAAUCAGACUGUUCAACUCACCUGGCAGCCACUCCCAGAGCCCCUGGAACUCUGGCCCAAGGCUCUCUGACUGACUCCUUCCCAGAUCUUCUCGGCUUAGUGGCUGAAGACUGAUGCUACCUGAUUGCCUCGGAAGCCCCACAGACCAUCACAGACGCCGAGCUUUAAGUAACUCUCACAGUGGAAGACAGGAAUGUCAGGACUCUGAGCCCAAGCUAAGCCAUCAUACCCCCUGUGACCUGCACGUACACAUCCAGAUGGCCAGUUCCUGCCUUAACUGAUGACAUUCCACCACAAAAUAAGUGAAAAUGGCCUGUUCCUGCCUUAAAGGAUGGCAUUAUCUUGUGAAAUUCCUUCUCCUGGCUCAUCCUGGCUCAAAAGCUCCCCGACUGAGCACCUUGUGACCACCACUCCUGCCCGCCAGAGAACAACACCCCUUUUUCCUUUACCUACCCAAAUCCUAUAAAACGGCCCCACCCCUAUCUCCCUUCGCUGACUCCCUUUUCGGACUCAGCCCACCUGCACCCAGGCAAAAUAAACAUCUUUAUUGCUCACACAAAGCCUGUUUGGUGGUCUCUUCACACGGACACGAGUGAAAACCCUGCUGGUUCAAAAAGGCACAGUAUAAAGGAAGCCGAACAGUAAAGUCAGUCAGGAGCCCACUGGCUUCCAAAGACUUUUUAUGAGUAGGCAAUCCUCAAUUUAAAGAUACAAAUACUGGUUGCUUUUGUUCUAAUCAGUUCCAUUUCUUGUGUUCAGGAGUCAUUUUUGAAUCACCUUAUUCCCUUAAAUCUUUCAUUGUUAAACUUCGCCCCUAA
rnacentral:lncRNA from 10 species